rnacentral:rRNA from 1 species
GGAGUUAGCCGGUGCUUCUUCUGUGAGUGAUGUCCUUCCUGCCGGCUAUUAACCCGCAGGCCUUCUUCCUCACUGAAAGUGCUUUACAACCCGAAGGCCUUCUUCACACACGCGGCAUGGCUGGAUCAGGGUUGCCCCCAUUGUCCAAUAUUCCCCACUGCUGCCUCCCGUAGGAGUCUGGGCCGUGUCUCAGUCCCAGUGUGGCUGAUCAUCCUCUCAGACCAGCUACGGAUCGUCGCCUUGGUGAGCCGUUACCUCACCAACCAGCUAAUCCGACAUAGGCUCAUCCGAUAGCGCGAGGCCCGAAGGUCCCCCGCUUUCCCCCGUAGGGCGUAUGCGGUAUUAGCCUGGGUUUACCCCCAGGUUAUCCCCCGACUACCGGGCAGAUUCCUAUGCAUUACUCACCCGUCCGCCGCUCGCCACCAGGGAGCAAGCUCCCCGUGCUGCCGCUCGACUUGCAUGUGUUAGGCCUGCCGCCAGCGUUCAAUCUGAGCCAGGAUCAAACUCUGA